AAAACUGGAGACCCGGUGAAAGUGAGAAAGGGCAGGAGAUGAUUCCAUAUACGCCCACAUUGCAGGGGGUUCCAAAGAUCUCAGCUACUUUUGCACUUUGGAGCUAUGACUGAGUAAAAUAAAAGUUACUUGAACACAAGUACUGUGACAUGGCAACCAAGAUGGCUACUGAGUGACACACAGGCAGGGAGCUUACACACCGUGGAUACCUGGACGAGGGGAGGAUUCAGGUCCCAGGUGGGAUGGCGCCGGAUAGUGUGACAUUUCAUCACGUGCCUCCGAAUGAUGGAAUUAUCAUGCCAAUGUCUGCAGAGAAGGAAGCACAGAUUAGGUGACUGUGGCUACUAUGAGGGCCAAGAAGGCCCUCCCACCCAUCCUGUGGGAUGCACCACCUGUGCUCACUAGGCCUGUGGAGAGGGGAGUGACUGGGGCACCUGCUCACCCCUGUACCAUGCCUGUUCUUCAGCUUCAGCUCUGGAUCCCCCAGAGAGGGACUGCUGCCUGCAUCUGGGUUCCUGGACAAACAUGCAGUCUACCACCCUUUAUCUCCCUGUCCAGGCCAGCGUGUUCUCCGAAAAGAGGAAAAUGAGUGUUCUGCUCCCAAGAGAUCAUGGCGUCCACCUGAGUCCCACCAGCCGAGUCAUUUGUCUGCUCCUGUAGCAUUUACCUUUAUAGUGCAAAACCUCAGGGUGCUGGC
rnacentral:lncRNA from 1 species